rnacentral:rRNA from 1 species
AUUGAACGCUGGCGGCAGGCCUAACACAUGCAAGUCGAGCGAGCGGCGGACGGGUGAGUAAUGUAUGGGGACUGCCCGAUAGAGGGGGAUCACUACUGGAAACGGUGGCUAAUAAAGCAUACUAAAGGAUAACCCAUAUGGGAUUAGCUAGUAGGUGGGGUAAAGGCUCACCUAGGCGACGAUCUCUAGCUGGUCGGAGAGGAUGAUCAGCCCGACUGGGACGGAGACACGGCCCAGAUUCCACCGGAGGCAGCAGUGGGGCAUAUGGCACAAAGGGCGGAAGCCUGAUGCAGAAAUGCCGCGAGUAUGAAGAAGGACUUAGGGGUGUAAAGUACUUUUAGUGGGGAGGCGUUACCCGUAGAAGAAGCCCCGGCUAACUCCGUGCCAGCCGCCGCGGUAAUUC